UGUCAGUUUGUCAAAUACCCUAA
rnacentral:miRNA from 1 species